rnacentral:tRNA from 1 species
AAGGAAGUGGCAGAGUGGUUAUGCGAUUGGCUUGAAACCAAUAAAUGGGGGUUCAAUUCCUCCUUUCCUCG